rnacentral:rRNA from 1 species
CCUCAAAACCGCCACAGCAUGUGUCUCACGAUGAGGGGGAGCACUUUCGUGUCCGCUGGUUAACAUCAAUUUCGAACGUCAUAAAAAGGCUGGAGGGAUGUGGCUCCUUCGGGAGUGUUAUAACCUUUAGCGGAAUGUGGUGGUCGGGAUUGAGGAUUGCAACGAAUACCUUUAGGGCUGUUCCACCUGGCUUCUCUUUGGUAUCCUGGUGACGACAGCUUGCUGACGUCGUUAGGAUUCGCCUUUGAACAGGCUAGAGUGUGAGCAAA